AAUUCGCUUUGAAUCACUAAAUAGAAGAGGGAAGCAUUUUUCUUCCUUCCCAAAAUGGGAGCUGAUGAGAGAGGAAACAUCGAGGGCGAAGUGAACCAACAAUUUUAAAAGACCAUCUCCUACCUGCUCUCAAAUUUUAGGCCUUCAGAACCUCAUUUUACCCUUGAUGGUAAUAGCUUCUACAAGAUCAUCAGCAAUGAAGAAGGUUACAGACACAUUUGCUAUUUCCAAAUAGAUAAAAAAGACUGCACAUUUAUUACAAAAGGCACCUGGGAAGUCAUCGGGAUAGAAGCUCUAACCAGUGAUUAUCUAUACUACAUUAGUAAUGAAUAUAAAGGAAUGCCAGGAGGAAGGAAUCUUUAUAAAAUCCAACUUAGUGACUAUACAAAAGUGACAUGCCUCAGUUGUGAGCUGAAUCCGGAAAGGUGUCAGUACUAUUCUGUGUCAUUCAGUAAAGAGGCGAAGUAUUAUCAGCUGAGAUGUUCCGGUCCUGGUCUGCCCCUCUAUACUCUACACAGCAGCGUGAAUGAUAAAGGGCUGAGAGUCCUGGAAGACAAUUCAGCUUUGGAUAAAAUGCUGCAG
rnacentral:lncRNA from 1 species